rnacentral:rRNA from 1 species
CCAUUCCCGACACGGGGAGGUAGUGACGAAAAAUAACAAUACAGGACUCUAACGAGGCCCUGUAAUUGGAAUGAGUACAUUCUAAACCUUUUAACGAGUAUCCAUUGGAGGGCAAGUCUGGUGCCAGCAGCCGCGGUAAUUCCAGCUCCAACAGUGUAUGCUAAAGUUGUUGCGGUUGAAAAGCUCGUAGUUGGAUCUUGGGUGGGUGCCGCCGGUCCGUCGCAAGGCGUGUCACUGGCGGCGCUCGCCUCGUCUUCGGUUCUCCGUCGGUGCUCUUAACUGAGUGUCGGCGGUGGCCGAUAAGUUUACUUUGAAAAAAUUAGAGUGUUCAAAGCAGGCUGCUCGCCUGCAUAGUGUUGCAUGGAAUAAUGGAAUAGGACCUCGGUUCUAUUUUGUUGGUUUUCGGAGCACGAGGUAAUGAUUAAGAGGGACAGACGGGGGCGUCCGUACUCUGCCGUUAGAGGUGAAAUUCUUGGAUCGGCGGAAGACGAACUACUGCGAAAGCAUUCGCCAAGAAUGUUUUCUUUAAUCAAGAGCGAAAGUCAGAGGUUCGAAGACGAUCAGAUACCGUCCUAGUUCUGACUAUAAACGAUGCCAACUAGCGAUCGGGAGGCGUUACCAUGACGACCUUCCCGGCAGCUUCCGGGAAACCAAAGUCUUUGGGUUCUGGGGGAAGUAUGGUUGCAAAGCUGAAACUUAAAGGAAUUGACGGAAGGGCACCACCAGGAGUGGAGCCUGCGGCUUAAUUUGACUCAACACGGGGAAACUCACCCGGCCCGGACACAGGAAGGAU